ACACCUUCAUUUGGCCUUCUCCACACUCAGAAACCGAGCUCUGUAUGCAGCAGAAAACAGCUCAGCUCUCUCCACAUUGCAUGGACGCAGGUUUUUAGAACAGAAAAUCAUGGACUUGGAGAACAGACUUAUGGUUGCCAAGGGGAACUUCCUACCUACUUGGAGUGGUUUGUAGAUUCAGUCCCUGGCCUCACACAGUGGAUUAAGGAUCCAGCGUUGCUGUAAGCUGCGGUGUAGGUCUCAGAUGCAACUUGGAUCUGGUGUUGCUGUGGCUAUGGCAUGAUUCAACCCCCGGCCCAGAGACCUCCGUAUGCUGCUGGUACAGCCGUGAAAAGAAAAGAAGAAUCUUGAGAUGGAGAAAUUGCCCUGGAUUGUUCAGGUGAGCCAGAUGUGAUUAUAUGAGUCCUAAAAAUCAUAGAAUCUUUCUCACCUGUAGUCAGAGAGAAAUGUGAAGACAGAUAUGGAUCAUAUGGAUGUGAUGUUACUGGCUUUGAAGAUGGAGGGAGGAGCCUUGAGUCAAGGAAUGAGGGCAGCUUCUCAAAACUCGAAAAGGCAAGGACGUGGAAUUCCCCCUUGGGACUCCAGGGGGAAUGUGGGUCAUGUCCACAACUUGGUUUUAGCCUGUUAAGACCCGUGUUGGGUUUCUGACUUCCGGAACUUUGAGAUAAUAAAUUUAUGUUGCUUUAAGCCACUAAAUUGUGGUAAUUUGUUACAGCAACCAUGGGAAACUAACACACAUGAUAUUUGUGGUAUUUGUCGUCCCUGUAACAUUAGUAAUUAUAUUUGCGGUGGUGAAAAAACAGGCUCUGGAGUCACGCAGGCUGGGUCAAGCUUUCCCUGUUCUGCUCACCAGCCAGGUGGCUUUAGGCAGGUAAACCAGCAAACAUGCUAAGCUUUGAUCUCCUGAUCUGUAAGAAGAUAGAGCUUCCUUCCAUGGGUGGUCCUGAGGUCUCAGUAAGAUCAUAUGAAGGCGUGCUUAGAGUACCCAGCACAGAGUUAAGGCUUCAGGACGUGUAAGCCACCAUGAGUAUCGGGACUGCUGAUUGUGUGACUAUUUCUUUUCCCCCACGAGGCUAUAAACUCUGUGAAGAUAGGCGCCAUGACUUUAUCGCUCCUUGCUAUAUUUCCAGGGACAAACACAGAGCUGGAUGGAGUAAGUAAUCAGUGUAGAAAUGGAUGGGUGAAUGAAUGGGUGAAUGAAUGAAUGGGUUUAUAUGUAAACACUCCAUGUACCAAGCAUUGCAUAGAGGCAAAAUUCACUGAGUUUACUCAACAAUACUUACUUAGCACUGCUGUUUACACUAGGCAUUAUGCCUGGUGCUGAUGGAUAGAAAAAGAAAAACAAAAAGUGUCCCUCAUUGUCCAUGAGCCCAGAUUCUCAGGCAGUACACACAAAGUGACAGCAAUAGACAGUGUGGCCUGAGUGUCAUGUAAGUGAAAAAAUAGGGAACACUCAACAGGCAUAAAAGAGGAAAUUAUUUCAUGUGUCUUGGGCGAUCUGUGAAUAUUUCCUGGAGAUGGUGAGAUGUGAGAGGAUUUUGACUCAAGACAAAGUUUGCACUGGACAAGAGGACGAGAGGAAGAUCCUUCUGGGGGCUGGCAAAGGGACCUGGCAAAGGGGCCUGGCAAAGACACACUGAAGACUGAAGAUGCAUUAAUUCUCUUAAAGAACUAGUAUUGGGGAAUAGAGUUAGUUUGGGCCAGUUUUUAAAUGCUUUGAACACCAACUUCCCCUUAAAGGGAAGGAGGAUCCAUAAAGAUUUCUAAUCCAGGGGCAAACACAGUGAAAGAAGUCUGUAAGUCUAUAGUGGGAUCUGGCUGGACAAACAGCCACUCUGUCUGAUACUCCAAGUGGAAGUUCAAUUCCUAGUUUUAAAAAAUGGAGAGGAAAUUAGAUGAUGAGACAACAGGAAUUUGCUUCUCUUUACUUUCAAAAGCUCUCUGGGAUUUGUUAUUUUCAGGGUGCCAUCUGGAUCCUCACCCUAGGCAGCCUUGAUACCCCGUCUGCUUUAUUCGCUGGCCUGGUUAACACCCUCUACACUCACCGUCACUGGCCCCUGGACUGGGGCAGCUCUUCUUCGCAGGUUCCCACAGAGAAUUUAUCCUAGUGCUGCUCCCAGGGGUGUUCACAUUUCUGUCUUGAGGUCUGCAGGGCAGUGGUAGGCUCUGGUCAUUCUGCAGAUGCUGUCUCAGGGCAUCAAGAGUAGAAUGGAUGGUGAGUUGGGACUUUGGAAGUCCUUGCCAAGAACCUCAAAAUCUUCAUCCUUUGGUGAUAACCCUCCCCACCUGGACGUAAGACCAGCUUCCCUAAAAAAGUGAGUUUUGUCCCAUCAGUGGCUGACAUAGACACGGGGACCAAGCCCAAACCUAUCCUGGGAAUCUCUGCUUGCAAAGAGGCAACCACAGAAGACCACCUUGCUUUGAGACCCCAGUCUCUAGUAUGAAAUAUUCACUUGGGAAAAGUGUCAGACUAGGGCUUCUUUCUAUUACAAAUAGAACCCACUUAUUUCCUAAACGGCUUCUGAAAUCGGCCAUGUGCACUUUUUCCUCUUUUAAUGUUUCUGAAUCCUUUUGAAAUUUGCAGUGAUUGAGACAGGUUUUUGAGUUUAGUAUUACCACUCAUGUCACAUUUUCACCUGAUUUCCAAUCUUUUGUGGUAUCCUUGAUUAAUAAGGCACUUGAUUUUAUCUUUUAUUGGGAGCCUUUGACUGCAGCAAAAUGUUGAAAUGAUUCAUCAGUCACAAUAAAAGACUUCAAAGGGAUCCAAGUUAAACCUCAGGAUUCUGAAGAGCAUACUAGACUAGUCAACUUCUUGUAUUUCAACUUCAGGACAAUGAGCCUAGUGGAGAAUUUUGCUAAAAAUGCCUAAUGAGCAUGUUGGUCACAUCUGAAAAUCAUCUGUUGUCCACAUGUUCAUGUUCAUCCAUACACGGUGUAUGCAUUUCAUCCAACAUCCAUUUAUUAUGUAGCAAGAUAUAGUUGAGGCUAUUUGUUUCCCCUGAUCCAUCCUCUGAACAUCAGAGGCCACUGUAAAAGAAAACAAAGUGAAUUCCUUAGGGUGGGAGCCAAGCCAGACCAAAACCAGAGAAACUACAUGGCACCUGCUUCAAGCUUUGUCCUCACGGGCACCGUUGGAAACAUAAAGUUGAAAUUCAUCAAAUGAUAGCUUUUACAUUAGCAAUUCAGAAAGCCUUUCUUUCGUACUUACAUGAAUUCUACCUUAUGAUUUCAAAGCAAGUGUUUGGACUCAGUGUUUUAAAAGACAAAAGCUAUUCAGUGUGUGUUUAGUGUUAAAAGAGAUGUUAGAAGUGAUAGUGAAGGCUGAGAAAUGAACACACAAUAGAAAAUAAAGAGUCUCUUUUUAAUAGAUCUUAAAAGUUCUCGUAACAAGAAAAAAUAUUCUAUGACUAUAUAUGGGGAUGGAUGUUAACUAGACUUAGUGCGGUGAUCAUUUCAAAAUAUUUACAAAUAUCAGAAUCGUCUUGUUGCAUGCAUGCAACUAAUAAUAUUUCCUUUUUAAGAAAGGAAAGAAAGAUCUCUCUCUCUCUCUCUCUCUCUCUCGUCUUUUUAGGGUUGCACCUGCGGCAUAUGGAAUUUCCCAAGCUAGGGAUCGAAUCAGAGAUGUAGCUGCUGGCCUACACCACAGCCACGGCAAUGCAGGAUCCAAGUCAUAUCUGUGAGCACAGCUCACAGCAAUGCCAGAUCCUUAACUCACUGAGUGAAGCCAGGGAUUGAAUCCCCAUCCUCAUGGAUACUAGUCGAGUUCAUUAUCACUGAGUCAUAGUGGGAAGGAACUCCCAAGAGUUCUCCUAUUUAAACUUAUAUUUAAUGAAAACUUACAUUUAAAGUGUAUAGUUUUCCAUUUUUUUCAUAGAUUUAAUGCCAACGGAAGGAACAAGAAGUACAAACCAUAAAACACAUCUCUGGGGUGUCCACAAGCUCAAAAGAAAAUAGAUACCUAAGUGCCUAAGAUGCUGGGCAAACUGUGAUAAGUAGAUAGCCAUGCAUUGAGACUGCAAAGAAAAGGCAACUGGGAAUCCCUCAAAUGGCAUUUCCAUUUAAAUUAGGCUUUUAAAGGUAAGUAGAAUUUUAAUACCCAGAGACGAAGUCCCCAGUCAAGAACAGUACGGCCAUAAGCCAAAAGCAUAAGAAGGACUGCAUGGCUCUAAGCUGAGGGUAGUUGGGGGUGGGGAAGGCAGACACUGGAAGUUAGGCGGGUGUGAAGCACCUGCCACUAAAAUGGUAAAUUAGGGUCAGGUUGUAAAGGGCCUCAAAUGCUGUGCUAGGGAGUUAGGACAUUUCUCUGCAGGAAAUGGGUCCAGAGAAGGAUUUGACCAAAGAAGUCCAGUAGAAAGAUGAAUCCAGUGUUAACUCCAAGGACAAGAACUGGGAAGAAUGGGGUGGAAAAAUUUGCCAGGAGACAGGGGUGCUGGCUUACAUGAAAAUCAGGUGGGCUCCAGCCUGCAAAAGCAAUGGCGGAACAAGGAAAAGAGAAGGGGUAAAGUGCAGUGGCGAGUAGGCGUUUGGUAAAUGACAUCAUCUGUGCUUCAAAGGUGAUUCUAAAUUUUCUGCCUGGGUGGUAGGGGGAGGAGAUACAGGGAUAAAAUUAAGGAAGAGCAAGAACUCAAGAGAAAAUGCAGAUUUUUAAAACAAAAAAGUAAUUGAUGCUUCCUUUAAAAUGAUGCUUGGGAGUUCCGUGUUGUCUCAGCAGGUUAGGAAUCCAACUAGGUUCCAUGAGGAUGUGGAUCCGAUCCCUGGCCCUGCUCAGUGGGUCAAGGAUCCAGCAUUGCCUGAGCUGUGGACUAGGUCACAGAUGCGGCUCGGAUCUGGCAUUGCUGUGGCUGUGGCGUAGGCCGGCAGCUGCAGCUCUGAUUCCACCCCUAGCCUGGGAACCUCCAUAUGCCGCAGGUGCUACCCUAAAAAGACAAAAAAAAAAAAAAAAAGAUGUCUGAUCUGAGUCUGAAAGUCUUGAGGUUCACUGGUUAAAAAGAGAAAGGGGACACACUCUAGCCAGAGGGGAAAGCAUGAGCAAAGCUACAGAGGUGAGAACUCUGAGGUUGUCAAAAUAGGAAGGAUGAGAGGGUGGAGGCAUAAAAUAGGGCCAAGUGGCAAGGGGGGUGGAGAGGGGCCAGUGCGAGAAAUGUUUAGGAGGCAAAAUCAAUAACAUCUGAUGAUGUGGAGGAUAAGGGAGAGGGGGGUCAAGAAAGGAUCUCAGGUUUCCUUCUUAAGUGACCCCUGGGAUUUCGAUCCCACAUUUGAAACGGAGAAUAAAUGUGGAAGAAGAAACAAGUCAGGGGAAAGGAUUGACACCACUUAGCUGGUGCUGCAUUUAAGGUGUCCGGGACAGUUUCCAUCCAGAGAUGGAAGUGCAGUGCUGAGCCUAGGGAAAUAAAGGGCUGGUAUAAGGAUAAAGAUGUCGGGACUUUAGGAUGCAGGCAGUGAGUAAAAACGUGCAUGUAGCUGGUGUGACUUUGAGAGAGCAAAGAGGAAAGCACACAUACCUGUCUCUGCAGACAGAAGAUCCCUCCAAAUGAGCACCAUUUAGACGAGGAGAAAUCACCUUAAAAUAGUGUCAUAAAGAGGUAUCAAUAUAUAAGACCAAAGAAAACUAACUGCGGCGGAGAACACAUCAUUCAUUCUUUCGCAUCUGCCUGCUAUUCCCCUGACAAUUUUAAUCAUCUGGAUGAGCAAAAAUCUUGCCUUUCAUUAACCCCCCGGGUGAUAAAUGGAAAUCUCUUUCGACAGCCACCAGGAUAUCUGGAGCCAAGCUUCCUGCUUUUUUGUACCCACUAUCUCAUUUUAGUCAGCGCCGGAUCACACUUGGAACAUUCCAAUAUGGUACAGCAAUCUGAGAGGCAAUGCCAUUCGCAGAAGAUGUCAUUGAAGGCUCUACCUGCAGACAAGAGGGUUCUUCAUCCUGCGAUCUUAUUCAUAAAAAUUUAAGAGCUCAGGUCUCCUUGAUUAAUAAUAACCAGACCUUUAGGAAACAAAAAGGAUCUUAUUUAAAAGAGUUGACAAGGAGUUCCCGUUGUGGCUCAGUGGGUUAAGAACCCCACAGUGUUGAUGAGUAUGGGGAUUUGAUCCCUAGCCUUGCUCAGUGGGUUAAGGAUCCAUCGUUGCGGCAAGCCACACCAUAGGUCGCUGAUGCGGCUCAGAUCCUGAGUUGCAGUGCCUCAUGCGGGCACACAGCCCCAGUGUGACCCCUGACCUGGGAACUUCCAUAUGCAGGUGUGUC
rnacentral:lncRNA from 1 species